rnacentral:rRNA from 1 species
UGGGGAAUAUUGCACAAUGGGCGCAAGCCUGAUGCAGCCAUGCCGCGUGUGUGAAGAAGGCCUUCGGGUUGUAAAGCACUUUCAGCGAGGAGGAAGGGCAGUGUGUUAAUAGCACAUUGCAUUGACGUUACUCGCAGAAGAAGCACCGGCUAACUCCGUGCCAGCAGCCGCGGUAAUACGGAGGGUGCAAGCGUUAAUCGGAAUUACUGGGCGUAAAGCGCACGCAGGCGGUUUGUUAAGUCAGAUGUGAAAUCCCCGCGCUUAACGUGGGAACUGCAUUUGAAACUGGCAAGCUAGAGUCUUGUAGAGGGGGGUAGAAUUCCAGGUGUGGCGGUGAAAUGCGUAGAGAUCUGGAGGAAUACCGGUGGCGAAGGCGGCCCCCUGGACAAAGACUGACGCUCAGGUGCGAAAGCGUGGGGAGCAAACA